rnacentral:rRNA from 1 species
AGAGUUUGAUCCUGGCUCAGGACGAACAUUGGCGGCGCGCCUAAUGCAUGCAAGUCGAGCGAACUCGUUUUCUUCGGAAAACAUAUAGUUAGCGGCGAACGGCUGAGUAACGCGUAAGUAACCUGCCUCGAAGAGGGGAAAAACUAUGAGAAAUCAUGGCUAAUUCCGCGUAAUAUCAAUUAAUUAAUUUAAUUGAAGAAAGAUUUAUCGCUUUGAGAUGGGCUUGCGUCCUAUCAGGUAGUUGGUGAGGUAAUAGCUCACCAAGCCUAAGACGGGUAGCUGGAGUGAGAGCUUGACCAGCCAGAGGGGGACUGAGACACGGCCCCCACUCCUACGGGAGGCAGCAGCAGGGAAUCUUGCACAAUGGGCGAAAGCCUGAUGCAGCGACGCCGCGUGAGGGAUGAAGGUUUUAGGAUCGUAAACCUCUUUUCUUAGGGAAUAGUUUGGAAGGUACCUAAGGAAUAAGUCACGGCUAACUACGUGCCAGCAGCCGCGGUAAUACGUAGGUGGCAAAUGUUGUCCGGAAUCAUUGGGCGUAAAGGGUCCGUAGGUGGCUUGAAUAGUCUUAUGUGAAAUCUCUUGGCUCAACCAAGAAACGCCAUAAGAAACUUUCAAGCUAGAGAUCAUCAGAGGGAGGUAGAAUUCCAGGUGUAGUGGUGAAAUGCGUAGAUAUCUGGAGGAAUACCAAUGGCGAAAGCAGCCUCCUGGGGUGAAUCUGACAUUGAGGGACGAAAGCGUGGGUAGCAAACCGGAUUAGAUACCCGGGUAGUCCAUGCCGUAAACGAUGAAUACUGGGUCUUCGGGGAAUCGACCCCCUGUGGACCGAAGCUAACGCGUUAAGUAUUCCGCCUGGGGAGUACGGUCGCAAGACUAAAACUCAAAGGAAUU